rnacentral:tRNA from 1 species
GCAUUGGUGGUUCAGUGGUAGCAGAAUUCUCGCCUGCCACGCGGGAGGGCCCGGGUUCGAUUCCCGGCAACUGAGCA